GGAGGAUCUGAUGUUGCAUUUCAUGUUCAAAAGCAAUUUGAAAGCAGAAAUCCCCAUUCCUGGUAAGGUUCGUCUUUUUUCUCUAAAACCUUCCACCAGUUGGACAAGGAUUACUCACAUAAUGGAAGCCUCAGGACUCUUGCUGCUGUUUUUGCCAUUGGGAUUUGCAGCCCUGGAAACAAGAUCCUGUGCUUGGUGGUGCCCUCCAAACCCUCCGUGUAUCAAUGCCGAUAACUGCCGUUGCUUUCCAGGAUUUGGUUCUUCAUCUGAGGUGACAUUCACUGGCCCCUUGGAGAGUUGUGAUGGUAUGGAGCCUUGGGGUGGUAGAAAUGUUCACACAAAUUUGGGGAGAGAUUGUGGUGCAUCCAUAGCCUUCAACCCUAAGAGAAGAACGGAGGCACUUUUCAAUAAAGCAGAGACUUUAGAAUAAGAAUGUAUAAGUGAAAUGGGCAAUCAGGUUUGCAUGAUGAGUAGAUAGAGAGUUAAUUUUUUUCUUUUAAUUUUAUAGGCUAUGAAAAGUUUAUAGUUUUAUGAGGUUUCAAGGUAGCCUUAUUUUUUUAAUUAUCAAAUUUGAGCUCAAAGAGAUUGAGUGACUUGUUCCAAAGUCACACAACUAAUAAAGUGGUAGAAACAGAUCCAGGUCUAAAGCAAAACAGAAUCACCAAAAGAAAAUUAUAAUACUUAAAAAUUGUUAUGGGAGUUCCCAUCGUGGCACAGCAGAAAUGAAUCCAACUAGGAACCAUGCAUUUGUGGGUUCCAUCCCUGACCUCGCUCAGUGGGUUAAGCAUCUGGUGUUGCCGUGAGCUGUGGUGUAGGUUGCAGACACAGUUCAGAUCUGGCAUUACUGUGGCUGUGGUGUGGGCCAGCAGCUACAGCUCC
rnacentral:lncRNA from 1 species